GGUCCCAAUAAUGACACUUAAGCGAUGCAUUUUUUUUUGUAAUAUGAAUUUUCCUGUUUGCCGCCGUUCCCGUUGGUCGUUGCCUCCCACUACCCUGCCAAUCCACCUCCUUUUAUCCAUAACCGUCAUCAAUUACGGCCGCGAACGGAGACUCCAAGUUUCAGGAGGCAGGUGGUGUCCACCUGAGCUGCAACUCAAUCACUGAACGACAUUCAACUGCAAUCGGUAGCUUCUGCUUCUAAUUGCCGCACUUUUUGUUCCUGCUCAGUCUGACCAAAAUUUUACACUGAUGACACUGGUCGGUUUAAGGUUCCCAGUGACUUAGUAGCACUUAGAGGUGGCAUUGAAAUUGUGUUUUCUCCAUAUGGAGAGGAAUUUAAAAGCAUUUCUUCUUCUUUGGCUCUUUUUGAUUGAUUCGUUUCGAUAUGGAACUAAGCAAAUUGGCGGUUGCGUAUUCCCAUUAUUCAUACCUGUGCUAAUGAAUCCGGACACAUUGAGAGGUGAGUAGUGUUGAUGCAAUCUCCCUGCCAUCAAAGCUUCCACUUUUAAUUUACAAUCCCAGAGCCUGCGAUUAGUAACGACAUUGCAGCAAGUUAUCGAUGCGAAGAAAUGGCACGCGGAAGGGGAUGGGAUGGGUAGUGACGGCUAUUCCCCCAAUAUUUGCUCUGGGCGUUGGCACACCAACUCGCCAAGUCGACAACUCGUGGCUUCCUCUGCCUGGUUGGGCCGAAAUGCAGUUGUCUUUGGAAUAGAUGGGUUCCUGCUCAGACUCAGUCUCUGCAAAUGAAGGGGUGUGCCUGGCAUGGGCAAAGAUGGGGAAUAAGAUGAGGAAGUGAAGGAGGAGCACCUGGUCUCGCAGGAGGCAGCGCAAGGCGUGCGACAUGCAACACAAGCCAAUCAAGCGACCUUGAGUCGGAGGGAAGAGUUGGAUGCUGCUGGAGCACCAGAUGAGUUGAUAACCUGCCCGGCGUGCUUGGCUUUUUGUGGGUGUGCAAACCAGUAAAUUGGAGCUAUUUCCAUCAAUUUCCAACGCGCGGCACUUGACAAAGUAAACAGAUUGCUGGUCUCCCCUUCCAUUGGGAUCUGAAAAUAAUCCUAGGUCCGACAGGAGUGGACCUCGAAGUUCGGCACCAUUUUCAGGUACACAAAAGGGGCAUCGCCUGGGAAAUUUAUGACCACUUGCCUGUUGCAUGCACCGUGCACCACCGAGUGGAACGGAACACCAACCACCACCCAUCUUACCCACCAGAACGGCAUCCCGACCCAAAACUGUUACACUUGGCUAAUUGAUUUAUGAGAGCGGGUUUCCAAAAUAUUUCCAAUACAAACAUGGACUAAGAGGCUAAGAUGCACUUGGUUGUAAUAUUAUUCUGCAUGUGGGUGGGUUGACCGAAC